UACUUACCCUUAUCUUUCCUCCCUGACAGCAAAGGAAUUCUACCCGUGUGACAUGUCAUUUGAAACUAGCAGACAGCAUUUCUUGGCUGCACUGUGUCAGUCAAAUAACUUGGAAGGAGAAAAGGUUGUUGCAACAUAUUUAACUAAAUCAGAGUUUCUGAAGGCAUCUGAAAAUGAAGCUUUUCAGUCUCCUGAAUAGGUGCGAAGCACUCACUGAAAAGCCUGUGCUCUUCCUUCACUGAUGUCACUGAACACUGUGGGGCAAAUGAUACAGGGUGAGCAGACGCCAUGUUAAGCUUCACUCUGGUGACCUCCUCUUCAGCCAAAGAUGGUCCAAGAAAGACUACUCUGUGCAGAGUUGAAGGAUUUCUUUUCUACUUUGGGCUCUUUCUUGUUCUGUGAUUAUCCAAAGAACAUAAAGCUACACCCAGUCCUAAAAGGUCUGCUGUCCUCAUGGCCAGAUGUCUGUUGCAUUCCUGCUACUUCAUAUAGACUGUCCUUCUGACUGUCAUCAUCAUGGGUGUGUUGUUGUUGUUGCUGUUUGUUUUUACUAUUUCAAUUGUUAUUGUUUAUUAUUGCAGUAUCUUUAUAUUACUUGCUGUGCCUUCUCACCUGGGUAUGCACGAGCCAAUGGGCUGUAUAUCAUCUAGGGCAUUCUCUUUACAAAUACCUUUUGCUUAGUGACAGAUACAGUUUUAACUUAACAGUACUGUCCAAAAGUGUUUAGUGAAUUACUCUGCCAAUAAUGCUAACUACAGACUAAGUGCAUACGCCUUUGCUUUUGUGUUUGACCUACACUUAAUAACCUUUGUCACUGGAAGAAGUAAUGAUUUCCCAUUUCAUUAGUGUAUUUUUUUAUUAUUUUUCAUUAACUUGGUAACAGAUAAAGAGUUGCAACUAGAAUGGGUUAAAUAUAUUUAAAAUGCUGUUUAAUGGAUUUUUAUACAAAUAUUUGUAAUUGCACUAAUUACAGAGAUACUUUGUCUUAUUAACCUCUGUUUUAAUAUACAUAUCGAAUUAUUCAUGUGUGAACAAAAGUAUUCACUUUGUAUACUAAUUACUGUUUUUGACUUAUUCUUUUAUUGCUCUCAGAAGUUUCAGGCAUCCAAUUAGGAUACUGAAACAAUCCUUAAAUACUCAGGUAAUUAAUCACAGACCACAAAUAAUGAACAACAAGUAAAGUGAACUGUGUCUAAAUAAUCCAUUGAUUUAAAAUAGCCCAUCCAAACUAUUCAUCCAAUCCUUACAAAUAAGGUACACUUAAAAAUCAGGCCUGUGUCACAACAAAUUUGAGUAAGAUAAAGGGCUGCAUUUUUCAGCUUAUUUAUUUGCAAAGAAUGACAUAUGCAGAUAUAAUGCAAACCUUGUCAAAAAGGAUUAGUUUAAUAAAUUCUCUCACUUUUGAAAAAUGUAUAAAACAGAGAUUCUCUUGUGAUUGCUGAAAGCCACAUUAACAUGUUAUUACCAAACACCUCAUUGCCUAAAAAUCCUAAAAAAAGUCUAUGAGGUAGCAAAUCUAUCAAUUAGUGUAUACCAAACUCCACAUACAGUAAAAAUACAAUAGCUUUGUGUGAGGUGGGUACUGCUUAUAUCUAAGAUCAUGAUGUUUCACUGAGAUAUCCAAAUGAAGAACAUUAUUGCUUUUCUCCUCUUUGAUCUUAAAAGCCUAGAUGGGGAUGGUGGUGGGUGGAUAGGGGUGUGUUGUUUUUUUUUUUCCAUUUCUGGACCAUUUAAAUUCUUGUUCUAAUGCUGGAUAAAUAACCCAUGCCAAUUUCUUAUUUAUUAUUUUCAUUGCUUAUAUUAUAUAUAUAAACAUUGCUUAUAUAUAUGUAUAAUAUAUAUAUAUAUAUAUUUUACACUUUUUAGUGUAAAAUUAGUUACACGUUUCAGAGAAAAAAAAUACUAAAAGUAUUCAUACUGUCAAUAUAAAGCAUUUAUAUUCAUAUUUUGUCUUCAUUUUUCCCUGGCCAAUACCUUUCAGAAUUUGGCCCAAAUUCACAGUCAUGUUUGUGAAUACCAGAUGAUCCAGAACUGUAUUUCUGGUGAAAGUAAUAUUUACUCCAGGAACAUUCCCUAAGUCUGUAUGUAGAUUUGUGCAUAUUUAAUUGGAAAAUUUAAUAUCAUAAAUAGCUUCUUAUUAGCUAUUUUACAUACUUAAUUUUUCCCAUCUUUUUAGCUAAAAAUAGUAGUAGUAUUUUUGUUAUGAGUUCUUAUGCUGCAAUAAUGUCUCACCCAAGGGAUGACUGAACGUCAUGUGCUUGUGUUACAUGUGUGUGUAUAUAUAACAGAUGACUUACUCGGUUGUAUGGCAGUCAAAAAUAAAAUACUCUACCAAUC